GACGAACGCUGGCGGCGUGCUUAACACAUGCAAGUCGAACGGAAAGGCCCUGCUUUUGUGGGGUGCUCGAGUGGCGAACGGGUGUGUAACACGUGAGUAACCUGCUCUUGACUUUGGGAUAACUUCAGGAAACUGGGGCUAAUACCGGAUAGGAGCUCCUGCUGCAUGGUGGGGGUUGGAAAGUUUCGGCGGUUGGGGAUGGACUCGCGGCUUAUCAGCUUGUUGGUGGGGUAGUGGCUUACCAAGGCUUUGAUGGGUAGCCGGCCUGAGAGGGUGACCGGCCACAUUGGGACUGAGAUAGGGCCCAGACUCCUACGGGGGGCAGCAGGGGGGAAUAUUGAACAAUGGGCGGAGGCCGGAUGCGGCAACGCCGCUGGCGGGAUGACGGCCUUCGGUUUGUAAACCGCUUUCGCCUGUGACGAAGCGUUAGUGACGGUAAUGGGUAAAGAAGCACCGGCUAACUACGUG
rnacentral:rRNA from 1 species